CUCUGGGACUGUUGCCAUCUCUAUCAGUGGACAAGCUCUGGAAUGUACCUGAGAAAUGAUAUGCAUGCAGAGAUUAGUUUCUUUUUUUUUCUUUUCUUUUCUUUCUUUUUUUUCUUUAUCUUUUUUAUUGCGUUUCUUUUGAAAAAUAAAUAUGCUAUGAUGCAAAUGAUGCAGACUGGACUGGCUGGUUGUGCAAUCUCUGAUCACUAGGUCGAAGCUU
rnacentral:lncRNA from 1 species